UACGAAGGGGCUAGCGUUGCUCGGAAUCACUGGGCGUAAAGGGCUCGUAGGCGGCCAACUAAGUCAGACGUGAAAUCCCUCGGCUUAACCGGGGAACUGCGUCUGAUACUGGAUGGCUAGAGUUUGGGAGAGGGAUGCGGAAUUCCAGGUGUAGCGGUGAAAUGCGUAGAUAUCUGGAGGAACACCGGUGGCGAAGGCGGCGUCCUGGACCAACACUGACACUGAUGAGCGAAAGCCAGGGAGCAAACGGG
rnacentral:rRNA from 1 species